ACUCAAAUGAAUUGACGGGGGCCCGCACAAGCAGUGGAGCAUGUGGUUUAAUUCGAUGCUACGCGAAGAACCUUACCCAGGCUUGACAUGGACAGGACCGCACCAGAGAUGGUGCUUCCCGCAAGGGCCUGUUCACAGGUGCUGCAUGGCUGUCGUCAGCUCGUGCCGUGAGGUGUUGGGUUAAGUCCCGCAACGAGCGCAACCCUUGUCGCUAGUUACCAGCAUGUAAUGAUGGGGACUCUAGCGAGACUGCCUAGGUUAACUAGGAGGAAGGUGAGGAUGACGUCAAGUCCGCAUGGCCCUUAUGUCUGGGGCUACACACGUGCUACAAUGGUCGGUACAGAAGGCAGCAAAGCCGAAAGGUGAAGCAAAUCCCAAAAGCCGAUCCCAGUUCGGAUUGAAGUCUGCAACUCGACUUCAUGAAGUUGGAAUUGCUAGUAAUGACGUGUCAGCAAUAACGUCGUGAAUACGUUCCCGGGCCUUGCACACACCGCCCGU
rnacentral:rRNA from 1 species